rnacentral:rRNA from 1 species
UACGAGGGGAGCAAGCGUUGUUCGGAUUUACUGGGCGUAAAGGGCGCGUAGGCGGUCGUGACAAGUCACUUGUGAAAUCUCCGGGCUUAACUCGGAACGGUCAAGUGAUACUGUCGGACUAGAGUACAGAAGGGGCAACUGGAAUUCUCGGUGUAGCGGUGAAAUGCGUAGAUAUCGAGAGGAACACCGGUGGCGAAGGCGGCUUGCUGGGCCAGUUCUGACGCUGGAGGCGCGACAGCGUGGGGGAGCAAACAGG